UAACUCACAGGAGAUGUCUCUGUUGGUCCUGGGCAGGGAAGAUGAGGUCGAACACCUGAGAGUUUAUUUCUCCCCUGAGGCAUACCAAACAAAUGAGCAAACAAAGAGGACUAUGAGGAGGAAUAUGAUGACUAUUCUACACAAACACCAGACUAUGACUACACUGCCACCUUCGAUUACACCUAUUUCAGUAACACCACCGGCCAUGAGGACUAUAGUUUGUACGUAAUUCUAGGAGAGAA